AAGUCGUAACAAGGUCUCCGUUGGUGAACCAGCGGAGGGAUCAUUAAAAAGGGUCCAUCGACUCCAAAAACCUACCGUGCUCCCAAUAUUUAAAGACAGUUUAGCCCUCGCUGGCAUUGGAAAUCUGAGAAGAGAACUGCGCCCCGGCGUAAAUACAAGAAAUUAAAAUUACAACCCAUAACAAUGGAUCUCUUGGCUCUG
rnacentral:misc_RNA from 1 species